GACGAGUCUUCCGUCCGGCGGUGGAUCCGCCCAGCCCGACAUCAAGCGCGAACCAGGUAAGCAUGCUCUUUCACUUUCCCGCGCAUCUGUGCCGGCCGCUGCCAGGUCGUCAGCAACCUAUAGGUCUCUGCCAUCAGGUCUGUUGCUUCAAGGCUCAAGCACCGCUCUCCGUCGCCGCAUGUGCAAGUAUAUCGUUGUCUUACGAGUGGCUCCACAAAUCACAUAGAUAGUUUGGGCAAUGCCGAAGUAGGAUGGUGGGUCAAACCGUCAAAGCUCCACUCAUCUCUUCGAUUUGACCAUGACUUAGGCCCUGUUCGGAUAUCCACCAGAUCCGUGAAAUUAGAGGAGUUGCGGAGCACCUAAUUUGCAGCUCCAGUAUUUUAGCGUACAACUACGCCGGCUCCGCGGAGCCGAGUCUGGAAGCGGAGGGACUUCGAACACUCCCUUAUUCACCAACAGAGUCCCUGCAGUACCGGAGGAAGAGUGUGGCUCCAUUGUAGUGCCUGCUCCAAAAUCUUUAUUAAAUCCCGUUGUUGAUAUUCAAUUGUCCAGGCCGUCUCAACCCGAAUUAUCUUCCAUGGCUGAAUCUUAAAAAUUAAUGCAUGUAUCAUUGCAAGAAAAAAUCAUAAGACAAUAAAUCCUUAUGUAGUUAUAUUAGUCUGGCGUCGAAUGGAAAAGUGAUAAGGAGGCUUGAAUGUUGGCUGCAUUCACAUGGGCUGGCUGAUGAGGGCAUUCGUUGGCUAAAGUUUGGUGAUGAACUUUUCAGACAAAUGGUGUAUCGGAGUCUACAGUGCAUACAAGAUGCUCCUUCAGUUCAUGGAUACAUUUGCAUCCUUCAUUACCUUGUUUGGAACUGACAAAUUUAAAUCGCAUCACAAUCAACAUUGAAGGAGAUCUUUGCGAGUGUUAUUCUUUGUAAUGUCACACGAUCUGGUGGUUUGAUGAAAUAUAUAUUGUAAAUCUGGUGCUACAUAAUCCUUCUUUUAUUAUGGUGUUUCGUAUCUUUUGUAGAAAUAUGUUUAUACUAUGUGCCAGGCUUAAUCUAUAUUCUAUAUAUAGCCCCGCAUUUUUCUAUGCUCUGAUUUUACAGGCCUGAUUCAGCUUGGGUACCCCUUUAAAUUUUCCAAGAAAAUGGUGACAUCUGUGCAUCGAAUAGAUGCUUCAGCGUUAUCAUAUCUGUUAUUAGCCUUCCUGACGAAGGUAUUUGACAUAUAGUACAAUAGUAAAUCUGUGCUAUUAGCCUUUUCGUAAAAUGGCACCAUGCUCCAAAAUGGAUUCCGUCCUAGUUCUAGGAAGGCACCACAGCUCGAAAGACUGGGGCAUCGAGAAAAACAAGAACAAGAUGAAUGGGAGCAACAGUUACGCCACAGUAUCCCAUCCCAGUGAUGGAUGAACACAAAGCUACUGUUAGAUUUAAUUUUACAGAGAUUUUCGAGGACCCAUCACCGUGGCCUUCGCGGUUACAGUAAACUAUUACUACCUCCGUUCCUAAAUAUAGGUCUUUUUAGAGAUUUCAAUAUGGACUACAUACGGAUGUAUAUAGACGUAGUUUAGAGUGUAGAUUCACUCAUUUUGCUCCGUAUGUAGUCCAUAUUAGAAUCUCUAAAAAGACUUAUACUCCCUCCAUAUGAUCUAAACGCUCUUAUAUCAGUUUACAGAGGGAGUAUUUAGGAACGGACGGAGUAUGAGAAAAGGAAGAGUGGCAGUUCAAUAACCAGACUAAAAAUUAAGAACAUCAACUGCAACAAAUGCCACGUCGCUAACUACUACUGCCUAAUAAGUGUCGUGGUUUUAGUUCAGAGUACUAGAUCUUAGGGGUACUGCUGCAGGAGUAAAACGGGUACAGAAUAACAUCACUGGUACAUGGAGAACUCCAGGCAGAACCUUCUGUCCUGUAAUUCCAUCAGGAAAAGAGCCUUCCAGGAGGUUCACCAUGCAUGAACAAGGUCAGUCAGUCAGGAGAAACUCCUCCGGCACGGAAUAAGGAUCGAGCUCCAAACAGCCCCGAAGCUUGCCUCCUCCUUCGUUUGUCAGAUGGAAGCAAGGGAUCUGGUGGGAGAACUUCAGGUACUCAUCCUUGCCUAUGGUCUCCACAGUUGUCUCCCUUGUAAAUACUGCCCUGUAACCAUCAACCUUCCUCAGCAGCCGAACUCGUAUGGACGAAUUAGUAUGGCAGAAUAUCUCCACCAACUCAUAGUCACAGCUGCUAAAAUCGCGUGCAGUCCAUCCAGCCUUCCAGUCCUUGUAAACGGCCCAGACCUCACCAAGGCGAGGGGCGAUUUCAUAUUCGUUUCUUCUGCCCGUCGGUCUAGCAAGCACAAGACGAGAAAAGCAUUCUGCUAUUUCUGUACCAGUGUAAGUCAUAAGGCCCUGCGCAGUGCAAACCUUAAAGGUUCCGCAGCCAACAGGCCGAUCUUCUGUCACCAGUCUUCUCUCCUCCUCUCCCUGGGGACAUGCAUCAAGCCAUCUUGCUUGUACUUUGUUGUUCUUGAGGUCAACAUUCUCUAUGAAGGCAUAGUAAUUGGGGAACUUAUCGAUGUCGCUGUAGAUGGCCCAGAUCUGCCCAGGUUCGAACUUGUGAAGCAGUCUUGUUUCUGAAAAUUCGUAGAACUCUGAAUCGGGACAGUCAUAUCCUACUCGGACAGUAUCAUCAGAUUCCUCGCCAGCAUGUGUACAUUCAACAGCAGAUGGAGUGUUAUUCUCUCUGGUCUCUUCUGUUGGCAUCUUUGCAAACAUCGAUGUGUUCAUGCAUGUCGCAUGUUGCUUCUCUCCAGCCCUACUGGAUCCCUUGCCAGAGUUAUUUCCACCUGAUGAACCAGGACAUUUGGCAUCAAACUCCUGGCAUUUUGCUGAACUUUUUUCUGGGACAACAGAAGCAAAGGCCUCUUUCAAAUGAAGAGGAAGUGCUGCAGGAUCGAGUUCAAGACUUCCUUGUGGAACGCCUUCUCUUUCAGUUCCACACAUCAGAUGACGAGGGACACAAUGUGAAAACCUCAGUGUGCUAUCCCGCGGUAUCGGGUACGCACUUCCCUCUUUUGACUGCAUAAAUAAGCUGACGAAACCUUUUAGUUUUACAAGUGGCAUGACGAUGAUGCUAUUUCCUGUUGUGAAAUCAGAGACGACUUGAACAACCUCAUAAUCACAGUUUCUGUGGUUGCCAGCAUCUGAACUCCAACUAAUGUCCCAUCCCUUAAAAAGGGCCCAAACUUCACCUUUCCUAGGAUAUAUAUCAUAAGAGUUUCUCAUCUUGCUUUUCUGACAGGAAAUAGUAUGAGAGAACAUGCAAGUUUCUUGAGCUGUUUCUGACCUUCCACGCCUAAAUUGUCCACAAGCAACAGGCAGUUCCCCACAAGACCAAGCCAGCUCCUCUUUAUUUGUGGGAUCAAACUCCAGCCAAAUAAAGUGUACCAUAAACUUGGGGGCCCUCUUUACCUUUGUAAUUCGAGCAUAAGAUCUUGGCAUACAGCUUCGACUAUCAUAGACAGCCCAGACCUGGUUCACUCUAAACUGAUUUACACCUCUAAGUUGGUCAAAGUUAAAAAAUUCAGGACAUAAUACUUUCGCUUGGACACUAUGAUCAGAUAGCUCAUCAACAUCUGUACCUCCCGCAGAAAAUGGAGUGUCAUGUUGUCUGUUCUCUACCAUCGGUGUCUUUGUAAAGAUCCCUGCAUUCGUGCAUGUAGCACGUUGUCCCUCCCCAAUCCUCACGCAUCCCUUGUAAGAUUUAUUUCCACUGGAUGAGCCAGCAUAUUUGGCAUCAAACUUCGGGCCUUUCAGUGAACUGCUUUCUGGAACAACACAGGCAAGAGCCUCUUCCAAGUUAAGGGGAAGCGCUGUGGGAUCAAGUUCCAGAGCCCCUUCUGGAAUGCCUUCGCUUUCAGCUCCACUCAUCAAAUGAUGUGGGACGCAGUGUGAGAACCAUAUUGUGUCAUCCUGAGGUAUCAGGUAUGGAGUAGCCUCUUUAGACUGCAUAAAUAAGCUAAUAAAGACUUUUAUCUUCACAAGCGGAAUGACAGCGAUGCUGGUGCCUGUUGUGAAAUCAGAGAGGACCUGAACAACUUGAUACUUGUAGUUCUUUUGGUUGUGAGCAUCUGAACUCCAACAAAUAUCCCAUCCCUUGAGAAGGGCCCAAACUUCACCUUUCCUAGGAUAUAUUUCAUAAGAGUUCCUUCUACCAGUGAAUAUCGCAUGUAUAGGAUGAGAAAAAUGUUUCGUGUCAGUGUAAAUCAUAAUACCACGGGUGGUGGAAACCCUAUAGGUUCCACACCCAACAGUUCGAUCUUCUACCAAUCUUUUCUCCACCUCCCCAUCAGGACAAACUUCCAGCCAUCUUGCAUGUACUUUAUUGUUCUUGAAAUCAACUUUCUGUAUCAAGGCAUAGCAGUUGGGACACUUAUCUUUGUCACUGUAGAGGGCCCAGACCUGCCCAGGUUCGAACUUCUGAAGCGAUCUAAUUUCUGAGAAUAUUCCUGCAUUUUUCCACACCCCAGCAAACUGUUGAUCUGGACCAGAAGGAGCAGGUUGCUCAGUUGAAACAUGUGCUAUAAAGGGCUUCGAGCAAUUCUGGCAGCGGACAAAUUUCAUUAAAAUUGCACGGUGGUACUGAUAUUUGGUGCCACAAGUUGGACAGAUGGUCCAAAAUGUUUGUGGCCUUGCAGAGUUUGAGCCGCUCAGCUGUUGUCGUUGACACUCGUUAUGGAGACUCAUAGUAGUAUGAAGUGAGAUAUACUACUUCCAGAUAACAAAGGACAACCAGUAGACCAAAAAAGUAACUUGUCAACCUGUAAAGCACAGAAUUAUGAUUAAGAAAUUUCAUCAAUAUGCUCUAAAACAGAAGGACAGAAGCGCUUCUUGCUUUAUAUAACAAGCAAUAAAAGAGCAACACUCACUUUCUUGCCACCCUAGAAAGACAAAAUUAAAUCAAAAGAAAGUAAUAUUUUUAGCUAUUGUUACCAAGAUGAAAAACCAUUAGCACUCAAAAUGUAAUGCAUAUGUUACAUUAUCUAUUUAGGCUUCAUAAGACAAGCCAAUAGGCCAAACAUGUGGAAGAUCAGUUUCUAUGUAUAUGUGCUCAACUGAUCAGAAAGCACUCCCUCACAGCAGGGUUCAAUUCACUAGAUUCCAGGUAAACUCUGCAGAUCACCGGAGGUUAGUCACCACAGUAUCUUGCUCUCUUUUUUUGGGUAUCUUUCUCAGUUUUUAAUUAUUAUCCUUGAUACAUUCUCUUUUCUCUUUUGAGGAACCCUUUGACAGGUUGCCUAAAGUGUUGGUUUCAAGAUAAUGUGCCAAAAAACAAAUUAAGGACAAUUACAACUCCACCACAGGUCCAGUCCACUCAUCAGUGGCCGGUUCUUCAAGCUCCACUGGAGAACUCCCUUACAAACUCUAAAGCUACUAAUCACCUCCACCGGCAUGGCCACCACCUACAUUCACUAGGAGUUAACCUCACCGCCAACCACGCCAUCUACUACUACUUCUUGCUGGUUGCUUUAUGUCAUACGGGUUGAGUGAACCAAUUUUGAUACC
rnacentral:lncRNA from 1 species